UCUUGAAUUCGAUUAGAGAUAGAUCCUGGCUCAGGAUGAUCUCUCGCGGCGUGCCUACUACAUGCAAGUCGAGCGAAUGGAUUAAGAGCUUGCUCUUAUGAAGUUAGCGGCGGACGGGUGAGUUACACGUGGGUAACCUGCCCAUAAGACUGGGAUAACUCCGGGAAGCCGGGGCUAAUACCGGAUAAUAUUUUGAACUGCAUGGUUCGAAAUUGAAAGGCGGCUUCGGCUGUCACUUAUGGAUGGACCCGCGUCGCAUUAGCUAGUUGGUGAGGUGACGGCCCACCAAGGCAACGAUGCGUAGCCGACCUGAGAGGGUGAUCGGCCACACUGGGACUGAGACACGGCCCAGACUCCUACGGGAGGCAGCAGUAGGGAAUCUUCCGCAAUGGACGAAAGUCUGACGGAGCAACGCCGCGUGAGUGAUGAAGGCUUUCGGGUCGUAAAACUCUGUUGUUAGGGAAGAACAAGUGCUAGUUGAAUAAGCUGGCACCUUGACGGUACCUAACCAGAAAGCCACGGCUAACUACGUGCCAGCAGCCGCGGUAAUACGUAGUUGGCAAGCGUUAUCCGGAAUUAUUGGGGCGUAAGCGCGCGCAGGUGGUUUUCUUAAGUCUGAUGUGAAAGGCCACGGCUUCAACCGUGGAGGGGUCAUUGGGAAACUGGGGAGACUUGAGUGCCAGAGAGGAG
rnacentral:rRNA from 1 species